GAUGAACGCUGGCGGCGUGCUUAACACAUGCAAGUCGAGCGAGAUUCUGUAAACCGAUCUUCGGAAAGGUUAACAGAUGAAAGCGGCGGACGGGUGAGUAACGCGUAGGCAACCUACCUUAUACAAAGGGAUAGCCUCGGGAAACCGGGAUUAAUACCUUAUAACACUUUAGAAUCGCAUGGUUUUAAAGUCAAAGAUUUAUCGGUGUAAGAUGGGCCUGCGUCUGAUUAGCUAGUUGGUGGGGUAACGGCUCACCAAGGCAACGAUCAGUAGCCGACCUGAGAGGGUGAUCGGCCACACUGGAACUGAGACACGGUCCAGACUCCUACGGGAGGCAGCAGUGGGGAAUAUUGGACAAUGGGGGAAACCCUGAUCCAGCAAUGCCGCGUGGGUGAAGACGGCCUGCGGGUUGUAAAGCCCUUUCAGUGGGGAAGAAAAGCACGGGGUUAAUACCCCCGUGUGUUGACGUUUCCCACAGAAGAAGCACCGGCUAACUUCGUGCCAGCAGCCGCGGUAAUACGGANGGUGCAAGCGGUAAUCGGAAUCACUGGGCGUAAAGCGCACGUAAGCGGCACGGU
rnacentral:rRNA from 1 species